rnacentral:rRNA from 1 species
GACGAACGCUGGCGGCGUGCCUAAUACAUGCAAGUUGAGCGCUGAAGGUUGGUACUUGUACCAACUGGAUGAGCAGCGAACGGGUGAGUAACGCGUGGGGAAUCUGCCUUUGAGCGGGGGACAACAUUUGGAAACGAAUGCUAGUACCGCAUAAAAACUUUAAACACAAGUUUUAAGUUUGAAAGAUGCAAUUGCAUCACUCAAAGAUGAUCCCGCGUUGUAUUAGCUAGUUGGUGAGGUAAAGGCUCACCAAGGCGAUGAUACAUAGCCGACCUGAGAGGGUGAUCGGCCACAUUGGGACUGAGACACGGCCCAAACUCCUACGGGAGGCAGCAGUAGGGAAUCUUCGGCAAUGGACGAAAGUCUGACCGAGCAACGCCGCGUGAGUGAAGAAGGUUUUCGGAUCGUAAAACCCUGUUGGUAGAGAAGAACGUUGGUGAGAGUGGAAAGCUCAUCAAGUGACGGUAACUACCCAGAAAGGGACGGCUAACUACGUG